rnacentral:misc_RNA from 1 species
CGCAGCCGCGGUAAUUCCAGCUCCAAUAGCGUAUAUUAAAGUUGCUGCAGUUAAAAGCUCGUAGUUGAAUUUCGGGACUAAUAUGUCGGUCGUGCCUCGGUACGUACUGGCUUAUUGGUUUCUCCUUUCUGAAGAACCAUGAUGUCAUUUAUUUGGUGUCGUGGGGAAUCAGGACUGUUACUUUGAAAAAAUUAGAGUGUUUAAAGCAGGCUCACGCUUGAAUACAUUAGCAUGGAAUAAUGAAAUAGGACGUUUGAUUCUAUUUUGUUGGUUUCUAGGAUCGACGUAAUGAUUAAUAGGGAUAGUUGGGGGCAUUAGUAUUCAAUUGUCAGAGGUGAAAUUCUUGGAUUUAUUGAAGACUAACUACUGCGAAAGCAUUUGCCAAGGAUGUUUUCAUUAAUCAAGAACGAAAGUUAGGGAUCGAAGACGAUCAGAUACCGUCGUAGUCUUAACCAUAAACUAUGCCGACUAGGGAUCGGAUGAUGUUAAUUUUUUAAUGUACUCAUUCGGCGCCUUAAC